ACCGUGAUACUUUUACUUUUUUAGUAUAGAUAUCAAUCAAACAUAUCGGAACAUUCCAUAAAGAUCUGUGAAUCAUAAGGUGUGCGACUUAGUCGCCACCUCGCGUCGCACUUUUUUAAAGCUUAAGGCUUAAGUUACAGCAAAAUUUAUUAUUAGCAAUAUGGAAUUAGAAGAUAUUUGACUUUAACAUAUAUCGCUGUCGAUUUGGAUGCGGUAAUCCGCCUACUCCGGCUGCUCACUCCGCUGUCGGCCUCCAUGGCGUUCGUCACCGUCGCCAUCGGACUCGUCACCGGCCAUUGCUCUACAGCGAAGAGAAAAUGUCCAACCCGAAAUUCAACCGAACCGGAGAUCCCGAACUCGAGUACCUCUCCAAAUUCACAUAGUCAGCGGACUCUGGACUCCUUGCUACACCAAUCCUGGAGAGACGGAACGCUACUGUUUCAACAUCGAUUAUUUCCCAACGGAAGAGUACAGUCCCGAUCCCAAUGACUCGACACUCUCAAUCCCUUAUGCGGUCUUGAGGUCGGCUCCGUUCUUUUUCAUGGCCACCGCUCUGUUGGUCGUCGGAGAGAUUUCCUGUUUCCUCGGCCACUUUGCACCCAGGAGACGCUAUUGCACUUUUCUAUCCGGCGUCACUUUUAUCCUUUCCGGAUGGUUACUUUUACUCGGUCUGGUUGUUUACGUCUCGGUUUUCACGGCUGAAAUCGGAAGUAAAAGUAAAUUAAGGCCCAGCUCAUCAUUAUAACCGCCAAUAUUCACCUACGCCUAGGCUACAGUU